rnacentral:rRNA from 1 species
AUGCUGAUCGCGGCGCUCGACGGGUUGGUCGACCCCGUGGAUGUGUGCUUGGACUCGUUCCUGAUUUGGGUACAAAUCCAUGGCCUUCCGGUGCCGCUCAAAACUGAAGCUGUGGGCUGGGCUCUUGGGGACCAGCUGGGUGAGGUGAAGGCAGUGGCACACCAAGACAAUCAGAUUGUUGGUGAGCAUCUUCGGGUUCAUAUCCUCCAUAAGGUGGCUGAGCCGCUAAGGAAGACCGUCGAGUUCACUCCCUUUGGUAAAUCUGAGGAAAUAAGCUCCAAUGUAAAAUAUGAGAAGUUGCCUAAUUUUUGCUUGUGCUGUGGUAUGGUGGGUCACAUGACGGCCAAGAAUUGCAGCAUUCCGGCCGAGCUUCGCAAGGCGAUCUAUUCCAUCGAGCUCAAAGCACCGUCAUGGGGUGGGCUGUUUCGGCGGCACAUUGACUUCUGGGGCCUUCCGGGUGCCGGGGAAGAUGAAGAGGACACAGAGAAGGCCAAGCUACCGGACAAGAUGAUCUCUAUGGUGGCUACGGCGGUCAAGAACCUGUCUGUGGCUGCUGCUCCGGUGGUGUCCGUGGCUCCUUUCGGGAAGGCGGUGGGUUCCACGACGGUCGUUGACCCGGGGCUGCGUGUGCUUGGCAUAUCCCAGGAAGGGAGUUCGGUGCUUGCUGGUUCUGGGUCCAAUGGACAGCUUCAGCAGGUGGUGCCCGAGCAGGCACUUGUCUUUGGGGAUGCCUCUACUUUGGCUGGGGGGGCCGUUUUGGACGGCCAGCUUGCCCAAGGCGCAUCCCUCUUCAUCAACACGGGAACUCCAGGGGCGCCGCCUGCGGUGGCUACCGCUGGUAGCGGGCUUGGGGUGCAUUCCUACAUCAUGCCUGGUGCACCCUGGGCGUCCAAGGAGGGGCUAGUUGAAGCUCCUACCGAGGUGGUGUUGCCGGGUGUGAAGGCCCCGGCUACUUCUGUUGCAGCUGCGCCGUCUAUAUGGAUGAUCAGGUCCAGGUUCCAGGAGAGGUGCAGACCGGCGACUCCAACCUUUCUGCACCUUCUAGGCUGCUGCCGGGGGGGCGGUGGUGGGUUCAAUGCUGGCGGACCAUGGAGGACAGUGUCUUUGCGUCGACGCAAAGGGAGUGGAGACCAUUUGGGGUUGCUGGAAGCGCGUCCACAGAGAAGAGCGCGAGGAGCAUGCUGUGGUGCAGUAUGCCGGUGUCAAGCAUGCCAUGUUUGGUGUGCCUACCCCACCGAAUAG